CGGCCCCGGUGCGGCUCUGAGACAGCUCCCGAGGCGGUCGGGGGGACAGAGGCCCGCCCGGGAGCGCGGGAACUCCGCGGGCGAGCGGCGCGCCGAGCGGGCCCGAGCGCGUCCCCAGCGUCCCCGCCGCGCGGCCCCGGCCCACGCCGCUCCCCGCGCCCCUCCCUCGGCUCCCCGCACAGCCUCUCCCGCCCCUCCCACCCGGCUCCCUCAAGUCUCCACGAACGGAAAUGGGAGUCACAGCGCCGGGGACCAGCGGAAACAAAACACAGAGGCGGCCGCGGGGGGCCGCGCCGGGGGCAGAAGCCCGGAACCAGGCCGGCCGGCCGCGCGGCCGCGCUCCCCGCCAGCCCGCGGCCGUACUCACCAGCUCCGGAAUCCGCCCCGUGGCCCUCGGCCGCGCUCCACAGCCGGCUGGGAACGGCGGCGGCGCGGGCUCCACGUGCUGCAGCGCCUCCCCGGGUCAGCCGCGCCGCUCCCGCCACUCGCACGCUCAGGCCCCGGGGCCCUUCCCGCGGAAUCGGCGCUCAGGAACCCCGGCCCCUCUCCCGCCUCCCAGGCACCCCCGGGCCUAGGAACUACAACUCCCAGCAGGCUGCGCGACGCGAACGCCCGCCGCAACGGAGGCUCACGAGGCCCAAACGCCCCGAGCCGCUGGGCUUUCCGCGCUCGCUUCCCUCCUCCUCCUUCCCUCCCCUUCCACUGCAGCGACCUCCCCAGCCCCAAGGAACGAGACGCCGACUCGGAAGGGAGCUUGAACUGGGAGAGAGACAGACAGACAGACAGAACAAAGCACGCAUGCGCACAGCAGCGCACUGUGUCCAAGAGGGGAAGCGAGGGGUGAAGUUAAGGGAAGAUGGCGGAGUUUUAGCGAAGGGACCCGGAAGCACUUACCCUCCACUUCCUCCUCCCGCUCGGCUUCUGUCUCACCUAGAGGCGUCCGGUCGCAGACUGUCUCCGAGGCGCUUCCUGUCCGGUGAGCGGCGAGCGACUGAAGCGGCGGCCCACAAUGCACUGCGGCGGCGGGUAGGCGUGUGUGGGCGGAGCCAGGGCCGGAAGUAG
rnacentral:lncRNA from 1 species